UUCCAGCUUCAAGUGGCAAUCCAAAAGGAAAAUACAUUAUCCCUAAUAACACAUUACAGCCCACAGAAUAAGUUAUAGUAUUCAAAUACAGUCCAAAAGAAAAACAUAAGUAAGCAUCCAGCUUUCAGUUUCCAGAACCUGUUAAGGAAAACAAUAAACGUGGGGUGAGCUAAAACUCAGUGGUGCCCCAAAACAUGCAAUCACAUAAUUUCAAACAGCGAUUAAUAACUGAACCACUUUAAACAGUUAGGAAAGCGUAUAACAGUACAAGGUAGGAUACGGGGGCUCUCGGGAGCCAUUUUCCUCGCUUGAUCACCAUUUAUCGUAGUUGACCCUCCGUCAACUCUCACUACUUAUAAUCCAUGUAGAGCGUCUCAUUUUGAUACCUAACCCGACACCAUUCAUACCCCUGUCCCGGGCCCGUUCUUCGACUAAGAACGCAGUAUACUCGAGAUAUACCCGUAGAUGAUUGGUCGAGAGAUUCACCCAAUGACGUGAUUGCAAUCAGAUUCAAGCAUCGAGUAAUUCACCCAAUGACGUGAUUGCAAUCAGAUUCAAGCGUCGAGGGAUUCACCCAAAGACUUAUUGCAGUUAGAUUCAAGCGUCGAGGGAUUCUCCCAACGACGUAACUACAUUUAGAUUCAUGGUAGUUGGAUACAAGAGUCGAGGGAUUCACCCAACGACGCAACUCCAUUUUGAAACAAGGAUUUAGGAGAAAAUAUUUUGCACAAGUCACCACUCGAACGGCUAGUGUGAUAAAGUACACACAGCUCACUUCGAUGGAUCAGAAACCAAUUUUUUUUUUCAACUUAUCACAUAACAAGUCAAGAAAGCACUUUAAACGGUUAGGCAUAGAACAAGCAGGGACACUCACCAAGAGUGGAGUUCAGAUAUCAAGUUGGAAAUCAAAUUCCGCGUCCUCGCAGUAUCCUAAAAACCAAAAUUUGAAACUAUGAGUUUCUACUCAGUUUUUAAGCUUAUAGACAUUGAAGUAUAUCUAAUAUACUAUUAAUUUACUUUCCCUUAGAAAAAUCAAGAGUCCCUUAGAUUAAAACUUGACAAAAGUAGAAGAAAUAUUUCCUAUAGUUUUCCUUGAGUUACUUUUCUUAUAAAAGGGGUAACUAGUAUUAUUUUCUUUGAAUAAGUCGACAAACCUCUAAAUAACAAUGUUAGAAAGUUACUUUGAACAUUUCUUAAAAGUUACGGCAUUUGCAAAAAUUAUCCCUAAAAACUAUUUUUCCUAAAAUAGGGUUUCUUGCCGAGCAAGUUUCCCAGGCUUUUCACUAAAAUUAGUAAAACUCGUAUUUUGAAACUUUUUCUAUAGUGAACUAGCCAAACUUAAAGAAAAGAAAAGGAAUAAAAUAAGACUUAGGGUUUUCAAAAGCUAUGGAACUUAUUUACUAUAGCUAUCAAGCCUAGUUUGAGGUAUUUGGAAUUAUCGGUUUGGAAAGUUUUUUUUUUUUAGGCAAGACACUCGAUAUUGAGUUUUAUAAUAUAAUACUAGCUGGAAAAUAUUUUUGAUUACUUAGAUCACAGUUACUCGAGUUCGCAAGGUAGAAACGACUUCCACAGCUCCGAUUCCGUUUCGAAGUCAUAUUAUGGUUCAAAAUAUGGCAAAAUCACAUAGCAAAUUACUAGGGCUUCGUCAAUCAUUAGCCCUAGAGUUCAACAAAUGUAUUAUUGAUAAAAAUAAAAUGAAUGACCAAGGCUUCAUCAAUCAUUAGCACUUGGUUUCAGCAAGCUCAUCAUGAACAAAUAAAAAAAAAUAAAAGUACGGCCUUCAGACAUUCCAGCAAUUAACUUUUAUCACCCAAUAGUACUUAUAAAGUCAUUCAAAUGGCCAAGGGCUUCAUCAAUCAUUAGCCCUUGACAACAGCAAUUACUUCCAACCACAAUUUAAUCCAGAAUUUAAACCACAAGUAAGCUACAAGAUCAAACCAAAUCAAAAUUUAGUUUCACGAAGAACAGGACAUUCCUACUAAAACAGUCUACUUCAAGGAUUCACAGACAGCAGUACACCUGGAGGAAAAAUACGAAAUUUCUACAGGACAAAGGCCUAUGAUUCUAGUUUCAAAUGCCACUGACGGCGCCUUAAACGGAUUUUCCUACAUCAAGAUAUAAACAGUUUACUGGGACUGGUCAGGGACAUCCGAAAAUCUGAAAUUUCAAUUUUUCACUUGUGAAAACUCCUUUUCUCUUUUAACACCAACCUGUUUUUAUUUAAACCAUCCAUACACUUCUUAUAGAACUCCAAAACAACAUUUUCCAGGCAUUUCCAUCCAUCAAGUUUCAAGGAACAAUUUAAAAAUCAAGUUAAGGUUCCAACUCACCCUUUGGCUAUCACACAAGAAUUUCCAACAGGUAUAACCCAACAUUUUCUGGUUCCAUCUUCAAUUUAUCAAAUAUUUCAUUGUUAACCAACUUACACAACUUAAAACUUACAACUCCUCUGUAUUUCUAAACCAUUAUAAUCCAAGGAAAAAUCCAGAAAUAGGUUAAAAUCCAAAAAAAAAACAAACUGAAAAUUUCUGAUCCAACCUCUCGGCUAUCCAGAAUUUUUCCAGCACCUAUGUGUUUAUAAAUCCAACUUUUCCUCGGCUAAAACCUGGUUUUAGACAUCCAAAUUAGUCAUACAAAAACUCAUCUAGCUAAUUAAUAUUCCAAUUCAAAAUUUAACUUAAACAACAGCUGCAAAUCCCAAAAUUUCCAGAAAUUCUGUUCAGCUAGCUUCGGUGAACAUGCAUGUAACAGAUUUCAUUUUUUUUAUUUUAUUUAUUUAUUUUUUUUUUCUGUUUUAAACUAACUAAUUAGCUGCAUGCAGAGCCUAAUUAACUUGUUAUUAACCAUCUAAUUAUGGUUAUAAGCUUAAACAACAACAACAACAACAACAACAACAAAAUUGAACCAAAUUAGGCUGCAAUAAUCAAGCUAAGCUCUCGGCAGAAAUUUUCUUAACCAAACCAGAAAUUUUUCUCUGCUUUAAUACAUCAUCCGAAUGCACAAUUCAGCAUGCAUGGUCUAAAUCUUCAAGUCUUCACUCAGCUAAAGGCACUUAGGUGUUCAGAUGCCACAGACAAACACAAAUGGAGCUGCAUUAUCUCCUCAAAGUCUCGGUAGCAACAUUUCAUCAAAACAGAAAUUUUUCCUAAUGGUUUGAUUUCAGCAUCCGAUUGCCUAAUCCCUACAUGCAAGCUCAGAUGUAGCUUGCUCAACUAAUAAUCAACCUAAUAAGACCAAAAAUUACCUCAGAUAGCAGCUAAUCCUUCACACGAAAAUUUCCAGAAAUUUCUUCCUUGCUCACGGCUUCAAGUGCAGUCGGUGGUUCCUGGCUUCUAAGUUGCGGCUGGAAUUGGUUGUAGCUGGUAGAUUUGAGUUCGGUUGGUUGGAAUUGGUGGGGAUGAAGGUACAGAAUGGUGAAGCUUCCUGCAAAUUUCCUUCCUGGCUUCACUCCAACCCACGGCAGAACCAGAAAAUUUCUGGCAGCUCACGUUCCCUCCUUCCUAGCUCACGGAUGCAGCUCACCAGGUGGCUCUCUCUCUCGGAUGCUCUUGGUCGAAUGCAGAGGAAGAGGUGAGGCGCAUUUGUGGAGAGAAAUUGCAGUGGUUUCGGUGGAGUGUGCAGAGA
rnacentral:lncRNA from 1 species